AGAGUUUGAUCCUGGCUCAGUUGAACGCUGGCGGUAUGCCUUACACAUGCAAGUCGAACGGUAGAGGGGCAACCCUUGAGAGUGGCGAACGGGUGAGUAAUACAUCGGAACGUGCCCAGUCGUGGGGGAUAACGUAGCGAAAGCUACGCUAAUACCGCAUACGACCUGAGGGUGAAAGCGGGGGAUCGCAAGACCUCGCGCGAUUGGAGCGGCCGAUGGCAGAUUAGGUAGUUGGUGGGGUAAAGGCCUACCAAGCCUGCGAUCUGUAGCUGGUCUGAGAGGACGACCAGCCACACUGGGACUGAGACACGGCCCANACUCCUACGGGAGGCAGCAGUGGGGAAUUUUGGACAAUGGGCGAAAGCCUGAUCCAGCCAUACCGCGUGCGGGAAGAAGGCCUUCGGGUUGUAAACCGCUUUUGUCAGGGAAGAAAUCUUCUGGGCUAAUACCUCGGGAGGAUGACGGUACCUGAAGAAUAAGCACCGGCUAACUACGUGCCAGCAGCCGCGNUAAUACGUAGGGUGCAAGCGUUAAUCGGAAUUACUGGGCGUAAAGCGUGCGCAGGCGGUUCCAUAANACAGAUGUGAAAUCCCCGGGCUCAACCUGGGAACUGCAUUUGUGACUGUGGAGCUAGAGUACGGUAGAGGGGGAUGGAAUUCCGCGUGUAGCAGUGAAAUGCGUAGAUAUGCGGAGGAACACCAAUGGCGAAAUNAAUCCCCUGGACCUGUACUGACGCUCAUGCACGAAAGCGUGNGGAGCAAACAGGAUUAGAUACCCUGGUAGU
rnacentral:rRNA from 1 species